CGCGGGCCUCGCGCUCGCAGGCCUCGGGUACCGGCCGCGCCGUCUGCCCAUCCCGACGGCGGCCCGGCGUGGGGAAGCAACGGUGGCAGGGACAGGAUGGAAGGGCCGCGCUCCGCAUCCUACUGGGAGGGGACGAGUUCAGGCUGCGGCGGCUGCGGUCGCGGGACACUGGGCGCUCCCGGCCUGGCUCCGGGAUAACCGGGCGGGGCCUGGGCCAUUCACUGCCUCGGUUUCCCCCGGUUGGCCUCGCGCGUAGGCGCCGGCGCCCCCAUCCCCGCCCAGAGCUGUGGGGCCGCAGAGACCCAGCCGGGGCGACCCCGGAGCCUGGCCCGGGGUCCCUCGGGCGGCCGAGUCCUCCCGCCGCCAGGGGCCGCCCCCGCCCCUUUGCGGCCCACGAGGCUGGCGGCGGCGUCCGGGCACGCGGUCUCCAGGCCCGGCCGCGAGGCUGCGGGGAGGAGCCUGCACGAGGGCCCGGCAGCCCCGGCAGCCCCCCCAGCCCUCGGCGCCUCUGCAACCCUGCGACGGGCUGGGGAGGCCGGUAUGCGUGGUUCCCGGAGCACCCGUCCCCCGAGGCUCCACGUACUCAAGCGUUUCUGGGGCGGAAUUCUGUGGGCAGCAACGGGGGCCCCCUCUCCAACAAGCGCACCUCAUUUCUCACGUGGGAGCCGCGGCCCAGAGAGCUGAGGUGACAGAGCUUGGGCCGCAGAGCUGCUCCCUCCCUGCAGCCGCACAGCAGGCCGGAGGCACAGCCGGCGAGAGACGGCCACUCGCUUUGGAGCGGCGGCGAGGCCGGCGCCUUCCCGGGCACCAGGGACUGCGUGGCUUGGCCGGAAAUCAGGCUAGAAGCAGCUCCGGGAAGCACAGCCCUUAGCCCAGCGCCUUCCCACACUGUGGCAGGAAUAGCACUGGCGGCCCACGCGCUUGUCAGGGAACAGAACAGCUCUCGCCCGACGCCUGGCAGGGGAGCAGGGAGGCUGCAGCUUCCCCAGCGACCAGCUGUUUCCCAGGCUGGCGGACUCCACGGACCGGCUCCGCGUCUCCUCUCCAGCCUUCUGUUCUCUCUAGAGGAAGAUCUGCGUUUUGUCUGCACUGUGGGCCGACUCUCUAGUGGGGAGCGUCAGACCCUCUAAAGUGGCUGCCUCUCGGGAAAGCUUCCACACCUGUCAUCAGAUUCUCCAAAGGGGCUGUUUGAUGCAAGAAACGGGAAGCCCCGGGGGUACUAGGAGCAGGGCUUGCUGCCAUUGGGCAUGGUGAGGCCCCGGCACCCUGCCCAGGACGGGCCUGUGGGCUGAGCUGCAGAUGGGCAUUGAGGAUGCCCCAACAGCAAGGUGCAGAAGGCAUCCAGAAGCAAAGGAAACUGAUGACCAGCGUCAAAAACAAACAAAAAAAGGGAACUUGGCUCGGCGGUGGCUCACGCCUGUAGUCCCAGCACUUUGGGAGGCAGAGACAGGUGGAUCACGAGGUCAGAAGUCCAAGACCAGCCUGGCCAACAUGGUGAAAUCCCGUCUCUACUAAAAAUACAAAAAUUAUCCAGGCGUGGUGGUGUGUGCCUGUAAUCCUAGCUACUCGGGAGGCUGAGGCAGAAGAAUCGCUUGAACCCGGGAGGUGGAGCCUACAGUGAGUCAACAUGAAGCCAGUGCACGCCAGCCUGGGCGACAGACUCUGUGUUUGUGUGUGUGUGGGGGGGGGAGGGCGGGGCGAGGCGAAGGGAACUUGAGGUUUAAAGCAGGGGGAGGAGGGCCGGAAAUGCUCCCCGCCGCCCCCGACACUCACUCGCCCCAGGCCCCAUCCUAGCCCAGGGUCAGUGUCAUUCCCUUCACCUUAGCCUCUCACUGCCCAAAGAGGCUUACUUUUCUUCUUUAAACUGCUGUUAAAAUUUGGGAGGAAACGGAAAGCAAGGGCACCUGAUGGUUCAGUGCAGCUUCAGGUUAGAGGGGCAUUUGAGGUGCCUGAGCUGGGGGAGGGCCUUCCCCCUGAGGGACUGGGAGAAGGGUAAGCCAUGUGCCCUGGAAGCACUGCAGGGAGCCUCAGAUUUGCACCCCCUGGCUCACACUCGCUGGCGCCAGCCAGCAUGGCAGGGAUGGGCGGGGCUGGUUCUUAGGUUUCCUGCUCUUUGGGUGCUAGCACCCAGGGUAAGGAGACACCCAUGUCCGGUUGCAAGACAAACCCUUCUACCUCCUUUCCUGCCAAAGGCCACCAGCAUCCUCUGCCUCAAUCUCAAUCUUUGGAACUUUUUAGCUCCAAAGUGGUUUGAUGACCACAGGCUAAAAUUCAUAGUCUUAAAAUUUUAGAUAGUUAAGAGACAGAUCUGUUACAGGUUUUCAAAUAAACUGGUCUAUCUAGUGUAA